UGACAUAACAAGAUGGUAAGAUCAUGAUAAUUUGAGUAUAAUUGAAAUGUGAAGAUUAAUUUUGUAUGUUUAAACUCAUUUCUCUAAGAAUUUAUGAAUUUAUGAUAUUUGUUAUUGAGAAUGCUUAAUUGAAAAAUACAACAAGAAUAUAACUCAACUCUGCCAUCUAGUAGUGUCUACUCUAUCGUUAUCAAAUAUAUUUUUAUAUAAAAUGACAAAUGGCCUCUGAAAAAGCUAACCGUAAUAUUUUAAUUUUAGAAUAGAAUUUCUAAAAAAAUUCACCAGAAUUCUAUAAACAAUAACUAAUUUCAAAAUAAACUAGAUGCUGAAAAUCUAUCAAAUUUAUGAUAUGGAGGUUGUUGCCGAUGAGCUAAAGGAAGGCUGUAUGGUUAAGAGUCAAACAAAAUCGUGGAUUUACGUGGAGACGACGCCUAUCAUGGAAACGACAAUGAACCUUUGGUAGUUUUCACGAGCACAGGGGAUAAGCAAAGCCUCGUAAAUUAGCCACGUCGCAUCAAGCCCGAUAAUUAAGGCGAAGCGCCGUUAAAGACGCCGGGGCCACGCUGUUUCGGAACUUGGCCACCGUCCAACGAAGAGAGACGUGUGUGCCAGGAACACGUGCGUGAAGUUGCCUCACCCGUGAAUCACGAGCUCGAAGCGGAUCCGCGCCGAUGAAUUUCUGGAGCGGGCCACGCAUGUAUCCGACGAAAUCAUACUUGGUAAGUGUUGUAUGCGUCUUGGAAACGCCGGAGCUCGAGAAUAAUUCUCUUUCGUUACCGAGAAAUCAUUAAGUUCUGUUCGUGAAACGCCAGUUUGAUGAUUCGAGGACCUUUGCAAUUAGUUUGUUUGGAUAUUUAUGGUUCUACUGUCAUAUUUCGUGAAAUUUUCCAUGAAGAAGUUGGCGCCAUCUAUCGUGUGAAAUAAUAUAUACUUAUAAUAUGAUUCGUAUCAUAAUGUAAGGAAAGAAGAUGAAAAAACAUGCACUGUACAAUGAAACCUAAUCUCCAAAUUGAUUCAUGCCAUCUAUCAUAUCAAAUAGCAAUAUACUUAUAAUAUAACUCAUAUCAUAAUGUAAGAAAAGAAGAUAAAGAAAUACAUACUAUACAGUGAAACUUUCAUAAAAUGAAACCUAACCUACAAAUUGAUUCAUGCUGUUAUCAAAUGGCAUUAUACACUUGUAAUAUAACUCAUCAUUAUAAAAUAAAAAAGAAAGUGUCAUCUAUCUAACCAAAUACCAAUUAUGUAUUCAUUAUCGUCAUUCCUGUAAAAUUUGCAGUGUAAUCGUAAAAUUAACAUGUAUCUCGAAUCGUGCCAGAUUCACUUCCCAAAAGAAACCAACAAUCAGUUUGAAACGCAAAAUUAGUUGAAUUACUGCCAUUGAUAAAUAUGUAUAGAAGUCUCUAUCGUAUCUCACGUAACGAUAUAUACCGUGCAAUGGAAGUUGACCGAGAGAUUUUAUCUUCCACUUCAUAAAACGAGGCGGAUUUCGAUCUUGUAAGCGCGCAUUUGUAUAGGCUGAUCCACCCAAUUGGAACUACUUGGCUGACGUUUGUGAAGUUGCCAAGAGGGAUUCUCUGGCAUUGGACGAGCGAGAAAAAGGAAUAAAUGCCGGAAAAUAAAAAAAAACAUGUAUCAAGUGGAAAAUGCAUAUUUUGAUAUAUUUUUGAAUUUUUUUUU
rnacentral:lncRNA from 1 species